UACGUAUGUCCCGAGCGUUAUCCGGAUUUAUUGGGCGUAAAGCGAGCGCAGACGGUUAAUUAAGUCUGAUGUGAAAGCCUGGAGCUCAACUUCAGAAUGGCAUUUGAAACUGUUUAUCUUGAGUGCAGUAGAGGUAAGUGGAACUCGAUGUGUAGCGGUGGAAUGCUUAGAUAUAUGGAAGAACACCAAUGGCGAAGGCAGCUUACUGGACUGUAACUGACGCUGAGGCUCGAAAGUGUGGGUAGCAAACAGG
rnacentral:rRNA from 1 species